rnacentral:rRNA from 1 species
UACGAAGGUGGCAAGCGUUGUUCGGAUUUACUGGGCGUAAAGGGAGCGUAGGUGGUUAGGUAAGCCCUCCGGGAAAUCUUCAGGCUUAACCUGAAAAGGUCGGGGGGGACUGCCUGGCUAGAGGACGGGAGAGGAGCGCGGAAUUCCCGGUGUAGCGGUGAAAUGCGUAGAGAUCGGGAGGAAGGCCGGUGGCGAAGGCGGCGCUCUGGAACGUUUCUGACGCUGAGGAGCGAAAGCAUGGGUAGCAAACAGG